CUGGAGAGCAGAGCUGUGCGGGGAGAGAACUCCAAGACUUGGAGCUGCGAAGACCUCAGUGCUGAGUCUAGCUCUGAUCGUCACUCACUGUGAGAAGUGGCCCCUGCAGGACUGCCCUCGGCUGCCUGGAGAUGACUUCCUCCUCAUGUCUCCGUGUCUUCCUCUUUGCUCCUCCUUGGAACGCCUUUCCCAGAAGCUCUGUCUGGAGACCUGCUUGUCAUUCAGCUGGGGUGUUGCUUCUCUGAUCCCUGGACUCUGGGCCCCCCAGUCCUUGGCUUCCUCGGUCCAGCUCUCACCACUCUGCAUGGCGUCGAUGUGUCUGCCUGUCUCUCCUACAGACUGGAACCUCCUUGAGUAGUUCCCGAGUCCUGGCCUGGGGCUCAGUGCCCAGUGCCAUUUUCUUGAGAUCACUGAGGUGAAGUCCUGUGUGAAGGCAAGCAGGAAAGUGGCUCCUGCCACUUCCCAAGGGAGGAUGGAUUGGGAGACCUGGGUUGGGGGUCAGGCAGGCUGAAGCAGAGAACCAUGAAGCCCCCCGCGGAAGCCAUGGCUCCUUCUCUGUUUUGGUUUUGCUUUUGUGGGCUUUUCAUUUCAGAAGUUAAUCUAGUUAAUGCCAACAAUGUCAUUUCAGCAAA